GCUCAGGAUGAACGCUGGCGGCGUGCUUAACACAUGCAAGUCGAACGGAGCACCCCUGACGGAGUUUUCGGACAACGAAAGGGAAUGCUUAGUGGCGGACGGGUGAGUAACGCGUGAGUAACCUGCCUUGGAGUGGGGAAUAACAGCCGGAAACGGCUGCUAAUACCGCAUGAUGUAUCUGGAUCGCAUGGUUCUGGAUACCAAAGAUUUAUCGCUCUGAGAUGGACUCGCGUCUGAUUAGCUAGUUGGUGAGGUAACGGCUCACCAAGGCGACGAUCAGUAGCCGGACUGAGAGGUUGGCCGGCCACAUUGGGACUGAGACACGGCCCAGACUCCUACGGGAGGCAGCAGUA
rnacentral:rRNA from 1 species